GACGGUUUGGCUAGGUGGUCUAAGGCGCCAGAUUUAGGCUCUGGUCCGAAAGGGCGUGGGUUCAAAUCCCACGGCCGUCA
rnacentral:tRNA from 1 species